rnacentral:rRNA from 1 species
UACGUAGGGCGCAAGCGUUGUCCGGAAUUAUUGGGCGUAAAGAGCUCGUAGGUGGUUUGUUACGUCUGCUGUGAAAACCUAGGGCUUAACCCUGGGCCUGCAGUGGAUACGGGCAGACUAGAGGUAGGUAGGGGAGAAUGGAAUUCCCGGUGUAGCGGUGAAAUGCGCAGAUAUCGGGAGGAACACCGGUGGCGAAGGCGGUUCUCUGGGCCUUACCUGACACUGAGGAGCGAAAGCGUGGGGAGCGAACGGG